GGGAAAGUGGCUCAGUGGUAGAGUGCUUGCCUCACAUGUAUGAGACUCUGGGUUCAAUUCCUCAGCACCA
rnacentral:tRNA from 1 species